rnacentral:tRNA from 1 species
CAGAGUGUAGUUUAACUUAGAAUUUUAGUUUUGGAGACUAAGGGCGAAUAUUUGUUUCAUUCUGA